rnacentral:rRNA from 1 species
UACGUAGGGUGCAAGCGUUAAUCGGAAUUACUGGGCGUAAAGCGUGCGCAGGCGGUGAUGUAAGACAGUUGUGAAAUCCCCGGGCUCAACCUGGGAACUGCAUCUGUGACUGCAUCGCUGGAGUGCGGCAGAGGGGGAUGGAAUUCCGCGUGUAGCAGCGAAAUGCGUAGAUAUGCGGAGGAACACCGAUGGCGAAGGCAAUCCCCUGGGCCUGCACUGACGCUCAUGCACGAAAGCGUGGGGAGCAAACAGG